rnacentral:rRNA from 1 species
UACAGAGGGUGCAAGCGUUGUUCGGAAUUAUUGGGCGUAAAGCGCGUGUAGGCGGCUUUGCAAGUCGGGUGUGAAAGCCCUCAGCUCAACUGAGGAAGUGCGCCCGAAACUGCAGAGCUUGAGUGCCGGAGGGGGUGGCGGAAUUCCCCAAGUAGAGGUGAAAUUCGUAGAUAUGGGGAGGAACACCGGUGGCGAAGGCGGCCACCUGGACGGUAACUGACGCUGAGACGCGAAAGCGUGGGUAGCAAACAGG